AAUCAACGCUGGCGGCGCGCUUAACACAUGCAAGUCGCACGAGAAAGGGAGCAAUCCUGAGUAAAGUGGCGCACGGGUGAGUAACACGUGGGUAUCUACCUUUUUGUGGGGAAUAACUUGGGGAAACCCGAGCUAAUACCGCAUAAGCUCGAGAGAGGAAAGCCGAAAGGCGCAGAAAGAGGAGCCCGCGGCUGAUUAGCUAGUUGGUGAGGUAAUGGCUCACCAAGGCUUAGAUCGGUAGCCGGCCUGAGAGGGCACACGGCCACACUGGCACUGAAACACGGGCCAGACUCCUACGGGAGGCAGCAGUGGGGAAUCUUGCACAAUGGAGGAAACUCUGAUGCAGCGACGCCGCGUGAACGAUGAAGCCCUUCGGGGUGUAAAGUUCUUUCGCCAGGAACGAUAAUGACGGUACCUGGAGAAGAAGCUGCGGCUAACUACGUGCCAGCAGCCGCGGUAAUACGUAGGCAGCAAGCGUUGUUCGGAAUUAUUGGGCGUAAAGAGUAUGUAGGUGGUGUCGUAAGUUUGGUGUGAAACCUCCUGGCUUAACUGGGAGGGUGCGCCGAAGACUGCGAUGCUUGAGUAUGGGAGAGG
rnacentral:rRNA from 1 species